GACGAACGCUGGCGGCGUGCCUAAUACAUGCAAGUAGAACGCACAGUUUAUACCGUAGCUUGCUACACCAUAGACUGUGAGUUGCGAACGGGUGAGUAACGCGUAGGUAACCUGCCUGGUAGCGGGGGAUAACUAUUGGAAACGAUAGCUAAUACCGCAUACUAUUGAUUAUUGCAUGAUAAUUGAUUGAAAGAUGCUAUUGCAUCACUACCAGAUGGACCUGCGUUGUAUUAGCUAGUAGGUGAGGUAACGGCUCACCUAGGCGACGAUACAUAGCCGACCUGAGAGGGUGAUCGGCCACACUGGGACUGAGACACGGCCCAGACUCCUACGGGAGGCAGCAGUAGGGAAUCUUCGGCAAUGGACGAAAGUCUGACCGAGCAACGCCGCGUGAGUGAAGAAGGUUUUCGGAUCGUAAAGCUCUGUUGUAAGAGAAGAACGGGUGUGAGAGUGGAAAGUUCACACUGUGACGGUAUCUUACCAGAAAGGGACGGCUAACUACGUG
rnacentral:rRNA from 1 species